GAGGUCCGAAUAGUGGGGGAGGAAACAGGAUGAAGGAACCUGGUUGGCCACACCGGUAACGGGGGGUACUAGGUGUCGGGGGUUACCCCCUUCGGGGCCGCAGCUAACGCAUUAAGGACCCCGCCUGGGAAGUACGCUCGCAAGAGGGAAAGUCAAAGGAAUUGACGGGGACCCGCACAAGUAGCGGAGCAUGUGGUUUAAUUCGAAGCAACGCGAAGAACCUUACCUAAGCUUGACAUCCCAAUGACAUCUCCUUAAUCGGAGAGUUCCCUUCGGGGACAUUGGUGACAGGUGGUGCAUGGUUGUCGUCAGCUCGUGUCGUGAGAUGUUGGGUUAAGUCCCGCAACGAGCGCAACCCUUGUCUUUAGUUGCCAUCAUUAAGUUGGGCACUCUAGAGAGACUGCCAGGGAUAACCUGGAGGAAGGUGGGGAUGACGUCAAAUCAUCAUGCC
rnacentral:rRNA from 1 species